rnacentral:misc_RNA from 1 species
GAUGAAGAACGUAGCGAAAUGCGAUAAGUAAUGUGAAUUGCAGAAUUCAGUGAAUCAUCGAAUCUUUGAACGCACCUUGCACCCUUUGGACUGCUCCAAAGGGUAUGCUCGUUUGAGUGUCAUUGUACUCUCACACUCUCUGAUCCUUUGGAUUUGGGGAGCAGUGGACUUGGGUGCUUGCUGCUUCCUUGUGGCUCACCUGAAAUGCAUCAGUGCAUCUCUCGAUUGGACAUACUACGGCGUGAUAAGUGUCUUCGCCGGCACCUCAUAUGAGGGUGGCCGAUCGGGAGCUCUGUGCUUUCAAACCGUCUUCGGACAACGCUGACAACUUGACCUCAAAUCGAGUAGGACUACCCGCUGAACUUAAGCAUAUCAAUAAGCGGAGGA